AAAAAAAGGAAUUUACUUUUUUCUUCCAGGCCCUAUGCCAAGCACUUGUGUUAUCUCAUUUAUCCUUGGAUCCUUUUAAUAUGGGGGUUCAGUUACCCCCAUAUUACAGACAAGGAAACUGAGGUGCAGAUCCCAGAGAGGGGGAGAGAGAGAGCACCAUUCUGGUAUGUAGCAGGGGGAGUCAGAGAACAAAAAUCGGACUGACUGAUAAGAGGCAAAGGCACUGGUGCAGGCUCUUCCCCAGCUUCCAGCUCUUUCAACCUUCUGGGCCUCGACUCUGCCCUAAGGAGAGGCUGAGGACCAGGUGAUGGGCACCAAUGUGUGGCUUCUUCACAUCCCACAGGCCGGACCCCCUGGGCCUCACCUUCCAGUGAGGGAAGAGAGAGGUGACUGCCUUUUCUUUCUCUGCACAGAGCAGCAGGGGAGUCGUGACCCCCAGGGGCUCAGUAGAGCAUGAGCCUGGCCAUUGCCAAGCGGCCCGCCCAUGCGUGCUGUGGUUACACGGUCUUCAUGCUGGCUGGGGAGCCCCGAGAACUCGGGUUUGGUUCGUCCUCCAAACACGUGAACACGUGUUGAGCACUGACUGUGAAUUCGGCAGCUGUGAUGGGGGCUGAACUCAGGGCCAAGGAGCCAGGCUCCACUCCACUGUGACACCAGGUGUGGGGCUCGGUGCAGAGCCACACUUUGAACCUGAGAGAGUGGCUGAGCUGGAUGAUUCUCAAAGUGCGCUCUGCGGACCAGCAGCAGCACCACCAGCAGCAGCAUCACCCGGGAACUCAAAGGAAAUGCAGGUUCUCUGGCCUCUGCCGAAUGCACUGAAUCAGAAU
rnacentral:lncRNA from 10 species